GAACGUGCCUUUAGGUUCGGAAUAGCUCCUGGAAACGGGUGGUAAUGCCGAAUGUGCCCUUCGGGGGAAAGAUUUAUCGCCUUUAGAGCGGCCCGCGUCUGAUUAGCUAGUUGGUGAGGUAAUGGCUCACCAAGGCGACGAUCAGUAGCUGGUCUGAGAGGAUGACCAGCCACAUUGGGACUGAGACACGGCCCAAACUCCUACGGGAGGCAGCAGUGGGGAAUCUUGCGCAAUGGGCGAAAGCCUGACGCAGCCAUGCCGCGUGAAUGAUGAAGGUCUUAGGAUUGUAAAAUUCUUUCACCGGGGACGAUAAUGACGGUACCCGGAGAAGAAGCCCCGGCUAACUUCGUGCCAGCAGCCGCGGUAAUACGAAGGGGGCUAGCGUUGCUCGGAAUUACUGGGCGUAAAGGGCGCGUAGGCGGACAUUUAAGUCAGGGGUGAAAUCCCAGAGCUCAACUCUGGAACUGCCUUUGAUACUGGAUGUCUUGAGUGUGAGAGAGGUAUGUGGAACUCCGAGUGUAGAGGUGAAAUUCGUAGAUAUUCGGAAGAACACCAGUGGCGAAGGCGACAUACUGGCUCAUUACUGACGCUGAGGCGCGAAAGCGUGGGGAGCAAACAGGAUUAGAUACCCUGGUAGUCCACGCCGUAAACGAUGAUUGCUAGUUGUCGGGCUGCAUGCAGUUCGGUGACGCAGCUAACGCAUUAAGCAAUCCGCCU
rnacentral:rRNA from 1 species